UUGCACCAUGUAUAGAAGGCACCACGAGUAAAAAUCCAAUAGUGGUAACCUUCGAGCGAAGGUGCAUAAAGAAAUUAGCUGUUUUCUAUUGAUUUAAUUGCGAAUCCAUAGAUACAGAGGCGGCCAGACAACCGUUAGAGACGGAUCCACAGAUAGGAAGCCUUUUUCUUGCUUCUUGUCUACUAAUUCCUUCUCACACUC